rnacentral:rRNA from 1 species
UACGUAGGCAGCAAGCGUUGUUCGGAAUUACUGGGCGUAAAGAGUGUGUAGGCGGUGCUCUAAGUUCGGUGUGAAAUCUCCCGGCUCAACUGGGAGGGUGCGCCGGAAACUGGGGUGCUGGAGCGCGGGAGAGGAAAGCGGAAUUCCUGGUGUAGCGGUGAAAUGCGUAGAUAUCAGGAGGAACACCGGCGGUGUAGACGGCUUUCUGGACCGUAGCUGACGCUGAGACACGAAAGCGUAGGUAGCAAACAGG